rnacentral:sRNA from 1 species
UAUCCAUCCCAUGCGGGAAGGAUGAGAAGCUUCGACCAAGGUUCGAUUCGAGCGGAGCGAGAAAGCGUUGCCGCAGGCAACGACCCGAAGGGCGAGGCG